GACGAACGCUGGCGGCGUGCUUAACACAUGCAAGUCGAACGGAAAGGCCCUUCGGGGUUCUCGUGUGCCGAACGGGAGAGUGAGACGUAGGUGAGCGUCCCUUCACUUUGGGAUAAGCCUGGGAAACUGGGACUAAUACCGAAACGGGCCACGCGCUCCUUCGUCUGUGGGGGAGAGCGUUGGCGGUGGGGGAUGGGGCCGCGGCCUAUCAGCUUGUUGGUGGGGUAGUGGCCUACCAAGGCGACGACGGGUAGCCGGCCUGAGAGGGUGACCGGCCACACUGGGACUGAGAUACGGCCCAGACUCCUACGGGAGGCAGCAGUGGGGAAUAUUGCACAAUGGGCGCAAGCCUGAUGCAGCGACGCCGCGUGCGGGAUGACGGCCUUCGGGUUGUAAACCGCUUUCAACUGGGACGAAGCGCAAGUGACGGUACCGAGAGAAGAAGCACCGGCUAACUACGUG
rnacentral:rRNA from 1 species